rnacentral:misc_RNA from 1 species
GAUGUGAACGUAGUGAAAUGCGAUAAGUAGUGUGAAUUGCAGAAUUCAGUGAAUCAUCGAAUCUUUGAACGCACAUUGCGCCCUUUGGUAUUCCAAAGGGCAUGCCUGUUCGAGCGUCAUUUGUACCCUCAAGCUUUGCUUGGUGUUGGGCGUCUUGUCUCUAGCUUUGCUGGAGACUCGCCUUAAAGUAAUUGGCAGCCGGCCUACUGGUUUCGGAGCGCAGCACAAGUCGCACUCUCUAUCAGCAAAGGUCUAGCAUCCAUUAAGCCUUUUUUUCAACUUUUGACCUCGGAUCAGGUAGGGAUACCCGCUGAACUUAAGCAUAUCAAUAAGCGGAGGA